rnacentral:rRNA from 1 species
AGCGAACGCUGGCGGCAGGCCUAACACAUGCAAGUCGAACGAAGUCUUCGGGAUAGUGGCGGACGGGGUAGUAACACGUGGGAACGUGCCCUCUGGUUCGGAACAACUCAGGGAAACUUGAGCUAAUACCGAAUGAGCCCGUCGGGGGAAAGAUGUAUCGGCAUUGGAGCGGGCCGCGUCUGAUUAGCUAGUUGGUGAGGUAAUGGCUCACCAGGGCGACGAUCAGUAGCUGGUUUGAGAGGAUGAUCAGGCACACUGGGACUGAGACGCGGCCCAGACUCCUACGGGAGGCAGCAGUGGGGAAUCUUGCGCAAUGGGCGAAAGCCUGACGCAGCCAUGCCGCGUGAAUGAUGAAGGUCUUAGGAUUGUAAAAUUCUUUCACCGGGGACGAUAAUGACGGUACCCGGAGAAGAAGCUCCGGCUAACUUCGUGCCAGCCGCCGCGGUAAGAC